UACGUAGGGUGCGAGCGUUGUCCGGAAUUACUGGGCGUAAAGUGUGCGCAGGCGGCACCGCAAGUCGAGUGUGAAAGCCCCGGGCUUAACUUGGGAAUUGCGCUCGAAACUAUGGUGCUGGAGUGUGGCAGAGGAAGGUGGAAUUCCAGGUGUAGCGGUGAAAUGCGUAGAGAUCUGGAGGAACACCGAUGGCGAAGGCAGCCUUCUGGGCCAACACUGGACGCUCAUGCACGAAAGCGUGGGGAGCAAACAGG
rnacentral:rRNA from 1 species